rnacentral:rRNA from 1 species
UACGGAGGAUGCGAGCGUUAUCCGGAUUUAUUGGGUUUAAAGGGUGCGUAGGCGGGAUGCCAAGUCAGCGGUAAAAUUGCGGGGCUCAACCCCGUCGAGCCGUUGAAACUGUCAGACUUGAGUUGGCGAGAAGUACGCGGAAUGCGCGGUGUAGCGGUGAAAUGCAUAGAUAUCGCGCAGAACUCCGAUUGCGAAGGCAGCGUACCGGCGCCACACUGACGCUGAGGCACGAAAGCGUGGGGAUCGAACAGG